AUUGAACGCUGGCGGCAGGCCUGACACAUGCAAGUCGAACGGUAACAGGAAACAGCUUGCUGUUUCGCUGACGAGUGGCGGACGGGUGAGUAAUGUCUGGGAAACUGCCUGAUGGGAGGGGGAUAACUACUGGAAACGGUAGCUAAAUACCGCAUAAACGUCGCAAAGACCAAAGAGGGGGACCUUCGGGCCUCUUGCCAUCGGAUGUGCCCAGAUGGGAUUAGCUAGUAGGUGGGGGUAACGCUCACCUAGGCGACGAUCCCUAGCUGGUCUGAGAGGAUGACCAGUCCACACUGGAACUGAGACACGGUCCAGACUCCCUAGGGGA
rnacentral:rRNA from 1 species